GACGAACGCUGGCGGCGCGCCUAACACAUGCAAGUCGAGCGAAGCGGCGGACGGGUGAGUAACACGUGAGAAACCUGCCUUUCACAAGGGGAUAGCCUCGGGAAACCGGGAUUAAUACCCUAUGGUGAAAGAUGGUCUCGCGUCUGAUUAGCUAGUUGGUGGGGUAACGGCCUACCAAGGCCAUGUGCAGUAACCGGCCUGAGAGGGUGAACGGUACCAUUGGAACUGAGACACGGUCCAAACUCCUACGGGAGGCAGCAGUGGGGAAUAUUGCACAAUGGAGGUAACUCUGAUGCAGCGACGCCGCGUGAGGGAUGAAGGCUUGCGGGUUGUAAACCUCUGUCGGUACAGAACGGGUAUGUGCAGAAGAAGCGCCGGCUAACUACGUGCCAGCAGCCGCGGUAAUAC
rnacentral:rRNA from 1 species